AAUCAUAAGGAGCUGCUGAGACUAAGGAGGAGGGAGACGGGACUAGGAAGGGACGGCAGGAUCGGGAAGGAGUGAAGGCAAUACUGUGCUAUAGGUCUGAGUACAGAUGUGCACUCUGUACAGCAGUACGUACCAGGGAGUGAACAGAGCCCCCCCCAGUUGAAGAUUGGAAGAUGCAGGCUGGACUUGUAGCAAGAUCAGAGGCUCCAGCUUUUUUUCUCGACCACGUCCACGGAUCUUCGUU